GCGCUGGUGUAGCUCAGUGGUUACUUCAAACACUUUCUCUAUCAGAAACAUUCUCUACCUCUGCAAAAGGGUUUGAACCACAGGCGCUGUCCAGUGUUUUG
ensembl:vault_RNA Vault Vault RNA